UGUCACAAGUUCUGCUGGAAGUCGCCUUCCUGCUGCGUGCUACUCUGCUUUUCCGCCGGCUGAGCCUUGCAUCAGUCCUCAUCAGCUUAGCCUUGUUCCUGGUGUGCGUCCCGUCACACAAAAGCUCCGUUCCACCCGUGGUCCCGGUCAGCGGUUAUAGAAAAGCAUGAGCAUGCACUUAAAGGCGUUUACAUCCCGACGUGUUCGGGCCAUCAGAGCCUGAAUCCAGUUCUGAGCAAGAAGACAUUGACCUACAUGUGAAUCACCUUCGUUGCUCUCCAUUCUCCUUCAUCAGAAAGAAUUUCUUUCGCCGUGACAUCGCCAAUCGGUGUCCCCGGUGCAGCCGGUGGUCAAGGCACAAGUGUGAAUGUCCGGAGAAUAAUGGAAUGCUGCACUCGGAGCGGUCAAGACCCACGAUGCCCUGCUCUCGGCUGCCCUGCGGGAAUAUUACUUUGUGUCCUCAGCGCUCGCCGCAACGCUCCGGCUGAAAACUCCACGGUCAUAAUAAGCAGAAGUGUCAUCGAGGGAACGAGUCCCGCUGUCGCUGCUAGCUGCAGGCGAGUCAAGUGUCUGGAUGGGACUGUGAUGAGUUCAUAAAUUAUAUUCCAUACUGUAGAAAAUGUGCAGCUACUGUAUUUAUUUUUUUAACCAGAUGACAUUUUAUUUAUAGAUUGUAAAUCAAGUAGUUGUUUAAUUUAUUGUCAUACAAAUCAGCCUCAAGGGCUCAUCAUAUUCCCUGCAUUUAAAAGAAAUGCUUUAAAUGGCAUGAAUAUGCAUAUGUAAGAUAUAGAAUGUUUUCAUUGUGUGUUGUUUGUGAUAAUAACCUCAACACGGUUAAUUGAGGCUUCUCCAUUCCUCCCAAUUUCAUUUGUGGAAGUGUCAGCCGUAAUAAACGCAGGUCUUUGCUAGCUUGUCAGGGUGACGGGCAGUGAGCCGGGACCUAACAACACUUUUUGACAAUGAAAGCGUUUGAGAAAUUUCAAUUAUACGUCAUUUGGGCUGCAGCACGGAGGCAGGAGCCGCCUGAAAGACACUUUGAGAGCUCCACCUGGCAGCUAAAUGAGAAAGCCCAGAUGAUUUGCAUUCCGCACCCGGGCUGUUAACUUGUCAUCAGGCGAGCUCCACGAUCAAGUGGAAAUAAGCAUCUACAAGCUACACUCUCUCGAGUUAAAAACCAAUUUUUUUUUUUGUUGUUGUUGAAAACAUCCAUUAUUGCCAUGUUGGCCUUUUUACGCUCUUGUUUUUCACAGCGCUAUUCCAAGUUAAUUUAUUAUUCCUUUUCACUGUGCUAUGUUGUUGGCAAACACGGCAAUAGUUCGACUCUUGUCACGAGAAUAGUGUGUUCAAACAAUGUCUUGAUGCUACAACUGCGUGCGUUUAUUUUCUUUGACUUUUGAAAUGUUAAUCUGCCAACAAAGCAAACGAACGAAUGCUUGGCUCUU